CUGCUGCCUUCCGUAGGAGUUUGGGCCGUGUCUCAGUCCCAAUGUGGCCGUACACCCUCUCAGGCCGGCUACUGAUCGUCGCCUUGGUGGGCCGUUACCCCGCCAACCAGCUAAUCAGACGCGGGUCCAUCUUGCACCACCGGAGUUUUUCACACCGAGCCAUGCGGCUCUGUGCGCUUAUGCGGUAUUAGCACCUAUUUCUAAGUGUUAUCCCCCGGUGCAAGGCAGGUUCCCCCACGCGUUACUCACCCGUCCGCCAA
rnacentral:rRNA from 1 species